rnacentral:rRNA from 1 species
GAUGAACGCUGGCUACAGGCUUAACACAUGCAAGUCGAGGGGAAACGACGGGGAAGCUUGCUUCUCCGGGCGUCGACCGGCGCACGGGUGAGUAACGCGUAUCCAACCUGCCUCUGACUGAGGGAUAACCCGUCGAAAGUCGGCCUAAUACCUCAUGGUAUCGUCUGCGGGCAUCCAACGACGAUUAAAGAUUUCAUCGGUCAGGGAUGGGGAUGCGUCUGAUUAGCUUGUUGGCGGGGUAACGGCCCACCAAGGCUACGAUCAGUAGGGGUUCUGAGAGGAAGGUCCCCCACAUCGGAGCUGAGACACAGACCACACUGCUACGGGAGGCAGCAGUGUGGUCUAUUGGUCGCUGAGCGAGGACCUGACCCCGCCGAGUGGCGGACGAGAAGACGGCCCUCUGAGUUCUAAACUGCUUUUAUGCAGGGAUAAAGUGAGGAACGUGUCACUCAUUGAAGGUACCGAAUGAAUAAGGACCGGCUAAUUCCGUG